UGAAUACUUACAUCCUAAAACUACUGAUAACUACCAUUUCCUUCCUAAAAACACCGAGGUUCGUCAUCGAUUAACCUAAAAAAACACGGAGGUUCCAUCAUUUCUUGAUUUUGCUGAUUCGUUAUCGAUAAUACUUAUAGAGCAGAUAAUGGCUUGGAAGGGUAUGAACGAUAAGUAUGUCCACAUUGAAGCAAUGUUCUUCUGCUUGGUUUAUCAAGCAUCGAGGUUGAAUUUGAAUUUUUGGGACAGGGGCAAAAUCGUCCAACAAGGGAAAAACCAUCAAACUUAUGUGUACAUAAACUCAACAGUAACCAAAACAUUACAAAUUGCAGAUUAACAUAUUUUAACACAUCAUCUUGUUACAACAUCUUGAAUUGGGUUUCUUUGCUCGAGAUUUAGUGGGAAAGCUUGAAGAGUUGAAGGAGACUUAUAAAAACUCUAGAAAACGUAAACCAUGUAUAUGUUGAUAAAAAGUGUAUAAACCAGUUAUUGUUUUUGUGUUAUUCAUAUUUAUCUGAAAUAGCAAUGUACUUAUCACUUUUGAAUCACAAUUUGCAAUGCACUUAUACUUUUAACAA